rnacentral:tRNA from 1 species
CGGAACAUAGCGCAGCUUGGUAGCGUGUCAUCUUGGGGUGAUGGAGGUCAUGGGUUCAAAUCCCGUUGUUCCGA